rnacentral:rRNA from 1 species
UAGGGAAUAUUGCACAAUGGGCGAAAGCCUGAUGCAGCGACGCCGCGUGAGGGAUGAAGGGCUUCGGCUCGUAAACCUCUGUCAGGUGGGGCGAUGGGACAUAUGGCUAACAUCCAUGUGUUUUGACGGUACCGCCGGAGGAAGCACCGGCUAACUACGUGCCAGCAGCCGCGGUAAUACGUAGGGUGCAAGCGUUGCUCGGAAUCACUGGGCGUAAAGCGUGAGUAGGUGGACUUUUGGUAAGUCAGGUGUGAAAGCCUUGGGCCUAACCCAAGAAGUGCAUUUGAUACUGCCAGUCUAGAGUUCGGGAGAGGGAAGCAGAAUUCCAGGUGUAGGGGUGAAAUCCGUAGAUAUCUGGAGGAAUACCAGUGGCGCAAGCGGCUUCCUGGACCGAUACUGACACUGAGUCACGAAAGCGUGGGGAUCAAACAGG